CCAACCGGGAUUCGCCUUAGUAACGGCGAGUGAAGCGGCAAAGCUCAAAUUUGAAAUCUGGUACCUUCGGUGCCCGAGUUGUAAUUUGGAGAGGGCAACUUUGGGGCCGUUCCUUGUCUAUGUUCCUUGGAACAGGACGUCAUAGAGGGUGAGAAUCCCGUGUGGCGAGGAGUGCGGUUCUUUGUAAAGUGCCUUCGAAGAGUCGAGUUGUUUGGGAAUGCAGCUCUAAGUGGGUGGUAAAUUCCAUCUAAAGCUAAAUAUUGGCGAGAGACCGAUAGCGAACAAGUACAGUGAUGGAAAGAUGAAAAGAACUUUGAAAAGAGAGUGAAAAAGUACGUGAAAUUGUUGAAAGGGAAGGGCAUUUGAUCAGACAUGGUGUUUUGUGCCCUCUGCUCCUUGUGGGUAGGGGAAUCUCGCAUUUCACUGGGCCAGCAUCAGUUUUGGUGGCAGGAUAAAUCCAUAGGAAUGUAGCUUGCCUCGGUAAGUAUUAUAGCCUGUGGGAAUACUGCCAGCUGGGACUGAGGACUGCGACGUAAGUCAAGGAUGCUGGCAUAAUGGUUAUAUGCCGCCCGUCUUGAAACACGGACCUCCUGUGUGAAUGGGAUCCGCUAA
rnacentral:rRNA from 1 species